rnacentral:rRNA from 1 species
AGAGGUCUCAAGCGUUGUUCGGGAUUUACUGGGGCGUAAAGCGUGCGUAGGCGGCGAGGUAAGUCAGAUGUGAAAGCUCGGGGGGGCUCAACCCCGAAAAUGCAUCCGAUACUGCCUUGCUAGAGUAAUGGAGGGGAGUCUGGAAUUCACGGUGUAGCAGUGAAAUGCGUAGAUAUCGUGAGGAACACUAGUGGCGAAGGCGAGACUCUGGACAUUUACUGACGCUGAGGCACGAAGGCUAGGGUAGCGAAGCGGAUUAGAUACCCGCGUAGUCCUAGCAGUAAACGGUGCGCGUUUGGUGUGGGGGGAUUCGACCCCCUCCGUGCCGGAGCUAACGCGUUAAACGCGCCGCCUGGGGAGUACGAUCGCAAAGAUUAAA